AGAUUAAUAGAAAUGUGUUGCCAAAAUUAUUUUUACAAGCAAAAGAAACAUGAAAACCUAUUUACUCUGCGUAUAAAAUUUUUAUCUUUCAUCCUCCAAGAGCCUAGAAAAUUGAUUCAUAAACAAAAGUGAGAAAA